rnacentral:misc_RNA from 1 species
UCCGAUUUGUCACCGGCAGUAUCGCAUGAAAAAUACAACAUGCAAUAAGGGUUGCGCUCGUUGCGGGACUUAACCCAACAUCUCACGACACGAGCUGACGACGGCCAUGCAACACCUGUCACUUGGCUCCCUUCCGGGCACGGUCUAAUCUCUUAAACCUUCCAAGGAUGUCAAGUGUGGGUAAGGUUCUUCGCGUAUCGUCGAAUUAAACCACAUGCUCCACCGCUUGUGCGGGUCCCCGUCAAUUCCUUUGAGUUUUAAGCUUGCGCUCGUACUCCCCAGGCGGCUAACUUAACGCGUUAGCUUCGACACUGAAGGGGUCGAUACCUCCAAUGCCUAGUUAGCAUCGUUUACGGCGUGGACUAC